AUCGGAAGGAUCAUUA
rnacentral:rRNA from 1 species